rnacentral:rRNA from 1 species
GACGAACGCUGGCGGCGUGCUUAACACAUGCAAGUCGAACGAAGUGGCGAACGGGUGAGUAACGCGUAAUCAACCUGCCCUUCAGAGGGGGACAACAGUUGGAAACGACUGCUAAUACCGCAUACUGAAGGAGGGGAUUGCGUCUGAUUAGCUAGUUGGAGGGGUAAUGGCCCACAAAGGCGAUGAUCAGUACCGGGUUUGAGAGGAUGAACGGCCACAUGGGAACGGAGAAAGGCCCCGGACGCCUACGGGAGGCAGAAGUGGGGAAUAUUCGGAAAUGGGCGAAAGCCUGACGGAGAACGGCGGCGUGGGUGAUGACGGCCUUCGGGUUGAAAAGCACUUUAAGCGGGGAGCGUUACCGGAAGAAGAAGCACCGGCUAACUACGUGCCAGCAGCCGCGGUAAUAC